GGGAAUUUAACAUUUGUAGUGCAACUUCCACUGGGUGUCCAUAAUGAGAGUAUAUUUUCAACUGCAUUCAAAUCCAUCCUUAAUCAUGCCAAAUGCUCUUUGCUAGCUGUCACUGAGACAUGCCCAUUAAACCUCCCCAAAGUUUAUCUCCUCUGCUGAUCCUAAUGGAUGUGUGUAAUUAUCACAGUCCCCUUUGCCUCAACAGACAAUUCCAAGUGCAACUUUGGGAAUCUUAAAAAUCUGACAUCUUCAAGAAUUUCAAGACAGUAGAUAAUCGAAAGUGAUCCAUGGAACAUAUUAAUAUUUAAAACGCUAGCAAUGCACCAGAAGUUUUUAAUUAAAUUAUAACUCAUGCUUGAAAAGCAAAAGUGCAUGUGUUGUGGGAGUUUAAAUAAUUCAAACUCUGAAUAUCUAGAGUUUUUGUGAAUCCAAAGACAAAUGCCAUUUGCAUACUUUUAGAAUUCCAGAAUUAACAUUUAAAAAUGAAUAAACCUGUCCUAACUCUCCUACAAAAGGAUCAGUGAAAUAUAAAGUUAUAGAGCAAUUCUGUCUUAUUUUAAAAUCAGGUCAUCUGAAUAUUAGUGAUAACUUCUGUUUGGACAUAAAAGUGAACCACUCUACUUAAAACAUUGUUUCACUUUUGAAAGAAGCUGUACAAGUCCCAUCAUAAGGACGAUAGCUGAGACAUAUUAAGUUUUGAGUCACUCAUUAUCCUGCAUAAUUGAACAUGAGAAUUCACAACAGGCUGAAUUACCAUGGAUCCAUUAGCAAUAAUGAGGUCAGGGAACUUAUCCUGAUAAGGCUGAUGGGGUUCUGUCAUCAGGUACUCUGUCACUAAAAAGGCUUAAUUCGCAAUGGAGCAUAUCUUUACAGAUGCUCAAGAAUAAAAUAAACUACUCUCAAUAGAAUCUUUGAACAACUGGCUGUUGGAUCAACUUCAACUGUUCUCAGGGACUCAUGAAGUGAACUGACAGUGUAUUAAAGGCAGUCUUGGCAGAAAGCUGGCCAGCUGGUACCAGAAAUCUUUAAUAACCUUAUAUGAAACAACACUUUGCUCGAGCUAGAUCAACACAACCUGAUAUAGAUGCCUCAGAAUUCUCUCUUGGGAAAAAAGAAAAUCCAAGAUGAGGUGGGAGAAGACAUUCUGGUGAGGUGGCCAGUUCUAUCUUCCUUCAGAAUCUAUACUAAUUAAUUUGCCCUCAGACCUCAGAGAAAUGUAGGCGUUCAAAAUUAAGUGACAAAUCCUCAUUAACCUGUUUACUUUUCCCUGUGAAGAGAGAAGGAAAAAAUCUUCCAUAGAAGCUUUUUUAUUUUGUUGUCUCACCUUCAAAACUUUGAUUUUCUUUAUUCUAAAUUAAAUAGCAGGAAAGGGUAAAGGAAAACUUAAAUUUGACUCUCUGUGCUUCUAAUAAAUGGAGCCACAUAUCAAUUCCUGCAUGACUUCCAAGUUGGAAACCUGUAAAAAUGACAUGUCUUAGGUGUAGAAUGUUGAUUCACUGAGAUAGAUAUAAAGUAUAACACCCAUCAUCUUAGUUUUCUUAAUAUUUUUAAAGUAUUUCCUUGCUUUUUAUUUCUAUUAUGUCUUUACCCUAUUCAUAAAUUGAUUUUUGAAUAAGGAUAUAUGAUAGAUAAUGUUUCACGUUGUCUGAAUUUUAAGACUUUUCUCUUCAAGGUGGUUUCAGUUUGUUUCUUCAAUUUUUAUCCUCUAUUGCACUAAAUCCAUAUAGUUUCAUAAAGUUUUGUUUCUUCAUUAAUAUCCUGUUUUAAUAUAUAGUCAGAGAUAUGAAAUCAAAUCCAAUUUCUGUAACACUUUAUUUUUAUUAAAUAUUGAGUAGAUUCAAAAUAAAACACUUGGCAAAAAAACAUAAACAAUAAUAAUAAAUGGGCACAAUGAACACUUAUUAUCUACUUCACUCUUUGAAAAUUCUUCCCCUCUAUUAAUUCAUUCCAUUCUCAUGAGAAAGGUCACACAUUAUUAUUCUGCUGAGUUUACAGUUGGAAACAGAGGCACAGAGAGUCAAGUCAACUUGCAUAAAAUGUUGAAAAGCUAGGGAGGUGGCUGAGUAGGACUACGACCCCUAUUUCCUGAGGGAACCAUGGCACAGGGGCUCAGGGUACAGACUCUGGAGCUACACCGCACCUAACUUUGAGUCCUGGCCCCAAUCCUUACUUUGUGAUGUUGGGCAAAUUCCUCACUUUCCGUGUGCCUCAUCUGUGAUAUAACAGUAGUUGUCUUGAGGAUUAAGUAAUUAAAUAAAUAUAAAAUGCUUUAGAGACCGGGCCUGUCCCUGGUACAUGAUCACUAUUCUUAUGUCCAAGUCUCAGUUUGAUGAUGUUUCUAUCACUGUUUAUCAGUACACCUCACUGUUACUUUUCUCUCAAAGCAUUUUCAGGUGAAGCAAUGAAAAUUGUUCAUAUCUAAUAUAAUGCUAUAAGUGUAAAACUCUACUAGUAUUAAUAACACUAACUUCAACUUUAAUGGAAGACUAAUAUGAAAGGCCCAUCUCAAACUGAAACAAAUCACUAAUGGAAAGACCAGAGAAUGCAUGAAUGAUAAUGUAUAGAUAUGCUUUUUUAUUAUUAAUUUAUAGGGUAAAAAGUAGGUUUUAGUGUGCUGCUUUAAAAAUAUUCAAGGUGAUGGAAAAUAAAAAGUGGUAGAAUUUCUGUUUCAUUGUUUAUUUGUAUACCACUCUUAAAUAUAAUGCACAAAAUAAGUAUUUGUCACAAGCACUUAGAUGUAUUGAAAAGGUUUGUUGGAAAAGAAGAGAAAAUGCUAUGACAGCCGGCACAAAUUUUCUUUCUUUCUAGAUUGACAGAAGGAACAAUCUCCUAACCAUCUAUGGAAAGACUAAUCUUAUCUCACAGAGUCGUAACACCUUCAGGGUAGAAGAUACAACACACUUUGUUCUACAAAUGAGGAAAGUGAGGCCUAGGAGCUGUGUGUGCAGCCAAGCAGUGAGGAAGACCAAACUACACCUCCCAUCAAAUCAGAGUCAGUCAAUAAUGAUUUAAACCAAAAAGAAGUAUUGUCUGGGGAAACAGAAAAAUAAAAUUCACUCUCAGAAAUAUAAAUCACAAGUUGAAUGACAAACUUUUAUCACCAAUAAAAGAUUAAGAAAAAUA
rnacentral:lncRNA from 1 species